rnacentral:lncRNA from 1 species
AUUUUUUAUAAAAUAGAUUGAAAUUUAAUCUCAGUAAUUAUUUGAGUCAAUUUUCAAGCAUAGUCAAGAAGAGUCUUCUUGACUUACGCCCUUACACAAUCAUUAUAAACUAAAAAGAAAAUCAAAGCAGCUAUCUUACAUAAGAGCUUUUAUUUUACCCCAAGUUCAAUGGACCACUGAUGUUGAAGGCAAAAACUGAUUCAAUGCAGCCAAGUUACUUUGUUCACAGGAAGCAGCCCAUAUGGUUGCUUGCAAAAGAUGCAGAUGAGUCACAAAUUUUGAAUAUGGGUUGAAUUACUUAUAUAUUAUACACCAAACACAUUUUUUGUUCUUUAUUAAUGAAAUAUAUUAUUUAUUAAAUAUAUUUUAUUUUACUCAUAGCUUGCAAUAAUGUAAUUCCUUGUAUCUAAAAGUACAUGAAGCACAUAAAUACUCUUAAAAAAAGAAAAUUUCUACAAUGUCCUGUAGAUUUAGAUUUUGAGUUCUGAAGAGUUAUUGUCAGGGCUUAUGCAAAAGAAAAUGAUGAAGAGACUUGGGAUUUGUCUGUUUGGUUUCAAAUGUAUAAAUAACCAACUCAGAAAGUGAGUGAGAAGGUAACCCCUUGUUAUCUGAUUCAUUGUACAUGCAGAAAUAAUGUAUCCAAAAAAAGGAAAACUUUAGUGAUAUUUUGUUCAUUAUUCUACAAAACAUAUAUCUAUAUAGCAAACAUGUCAUUGAGUUUAGAUUAACUUUCCAUACAUUAUAUUAAAAAGAUUUCCUUAAGGCAACUUUAUAGAAAUUAACAUGGAUUGAUUUUGCAAUUUUAAAAAUAUAUUCUAUAUUAAAUAUUAUAUAUCUUAAAU